rnacentral:guide_RNA from 1 species
GAUCAUAACUGCGGAGAUAAGUAACUUGAAUGUGAAAUUAUU